UAUUGACAGGCGCCAUAAUGUUAUACCGGUAAACAACAUUUUGAACAUGAAUCGAGAACAGGAGUUGAAUCAGUUGAUGCAGAUAUUCUGAGGAGAAUCUUCCAGUCAUUGAAAUAUAUUUCAUGAUAGUCAUGCAGAUUCAGAAGUUGUGAUGGUGUGUUGAUAGGCUGUCUUCAACUUGCCAUAUCUUAGAGUUCCAACAUGCAGGCCUGGAUUAAUGUGUAUAAAUCACUAAUGAAAAAAAGAAUGACAUUUCAAUUUAUACACACUUGCCAAGUGAAUCUGAUGAGACUGCUACAUGUAUUUGUGAGUAAAGGCACUCUGUCUUAACCGAAAAACUAUUUACAGUUUAUCACAACAAAUGGAUGGGACAGUAGAGCUGUUGCGGACAAUAUGUGAUUGUGAUGACCAAGUACUGAACAAGUGGAAGAUUAGAAGAAGGUCCAGAAUUCAAUCAUGUUUUUGAUUCUAAGGUGCACACAGCAUGGAGAUAGUCCUAUUAUUCUCCCGUUCAUCUAUGAUGGAGAAACUUGUGUAAAUGUUUAGUGUUCUCCCUAAUAAUUAAGUGCCCACAAGUCUGUAUUAAUUUAUCAGAAUAUAAAGUCCUUCACAGUACUGAUUUUAAAAUUAAUGUAGAUUGUCUCCAGAUUUUUCUGAGGAAAAGUGCAUAGUUUACAUGUGUGAAUUUUGAAUAUAUUUCAUUCUUGUCUGCAAAUGUUGCCGAAAUCUGUUGUUAUUGAUGCACAGUCAUGUUAUGCAAAUGAUAGACCUUCUUAACUACAUGUACAGAAGAUCAUGUCAACUCCUUUGUCUUAAUUGUAUACACAAUUCUAGCAUUUAUAGCAUCAUUUAUAUAGCACUUGCUAGCUUAAGAAGGAUUUUAUUUUCUAAAAGCUUUCAUUUGACAUGAUUGAUCUAAAACGGCCAAAAUUCACAAAUCUAUUUAAAUCACAACCUGACCUUAUGUCAGAAAAGUGCCACUGUGGGUUGAUAUUUUUCUCUUGGAUCUUGAAAGAAAUUCUUUAUGCAGCAGUUUCCAAAUAAAAUGUACUCUCAUGGCCAGGGUGGGACUUCACUGAGAACUUUUUAACAUUGCACAAUGCAAUAUUUGUAGAUUAGAAGUUGUUGCAGUUUCUUUAAGUUUUCUCUCACAUCUUGUUAUAAUUAUAUUUUAUAUUUUUGGUUGGGUUGCACAAUGUGCAAACAGUUUAUAAAAUGGUGAAUGACUCAGUGGUGGGCAAGCGACAGUAGCGUCCCUGUAAUAGUACCUACUUUGUGUAAUCAACUCCUUUCAUACCUCUCACUUGAUGUUCCUUAAACUUUGUACAGUUGUUAGGGAUACAUUGAAGAUGUGCAUGUGCCUUUUUGAAAGUGAUCAGACAUUUUUUGAAAAAUUUACAUGUAGUUGAACUUCGUCAUUUUUAAGCAUUUCUUUAAUCGACAGUACCUAUUUUGUGUAAUCAACUCCUCGUAUACCUCUAACUUGACAUUCCUCAAACUGUGUACAUUUGUUUUGAACACAUUGAAAAUGUGCAUAUGUGUUUUUGAAAGUGAUCAGACAUUUAAAAAAAAAUGUAUAUGUAGUUGAACUUAGUCAUUUUUAAGCAUUUCUUGAAUAGAUGGUAACUAUUUUGUGUAAUCAAAUCUUCAUGCACCUCUAACUUGACAUUCCUUAAACUUUGUACAGUUGUUAUGAACACAUUGAAGAUGUGCAUGCAUCUUUUUGAAAAUGAUUAGACUUUUAAAAAAAAAAAAAAUUAUGUGUAGUUGAACUUGGUCAUUUUUAUGCAUUUCUUGAAUAGAUGGUACCUAUUUUUUGUGAUCAACUCGUGCACAUCUAAAUUGAUAUUCCUCAAACUUUGUACAGUAGUUAUGGACACAUUGAAGAUGUGCAUGUGUCUUUUUGAAAGUGAUCAGACUUUUUUCAAAAAAAUUACAUUUAGUUGAACUUUGUCAUUUUUUAAGCAUUUCCUGAAUAGAUGGUACUUAUUUUUUGUAAUCAACUCCUCUUACAGCAUUUAUUUGACAUUCUUCAGACCUUGAACAGCUGUUAUGGAAGCAUUGUAAAUGUGCAUGUGUCUUUUCAGAAGUGAUCAGGCAUUCUUUGAAAAAUUUACAUGUGCAUGGUGAAGUUGAACUUAGUCAUUUUUUUAAGCAUGGUACGUUAUGUAACCAACUCAGCUUUUACUUAACAUUUUCCAGACCCUGUACAUUAUAGAUGUUUUAAAAACAUUGAAGAUAUUCAUGUAACAUUUUAAAAAUGCUUCUCUUUUUUUUUUCUCUCUCUCUUUUUUGUUGUUGAAAAAUUCUACCUUUAAUUUGUCAUUUUCCCAGUAUAUGUUUCUACUGUUGUUCCUAUGAUAGAGAACAUAUUUUACAAGAACCCGGUCAUUUCUGUUUUUGAAUAAAAAAAUUUUAAUUAGUAUUUUUGAAUAUGUUAAUUACUUGAUAUGUCAUUGUUCUUGAAAUUAUAUUAAUUGAAUUGUUA